UUUUAUUUUUCUAUUUUUUUUUCCUUUCCACUCACAGUAACACGUUGAAAUUUAUGUACUGCAUACUCUUCUCUCUCACAUCACUCGCACUCGCACUCCCUCUCUUUCUCAUUCUCUCAUUCGUUCUUCCUCUCUCAGGUGCGAAGGAGUGGAUGCACCAAUCUGGGUCCUUAGCAGAGGAGUGGCUUCGACGGUGCCGUGGGUGCGUCUGGGAUGGAGGCAUUUUUUUCUCUUUUUUUCCUUUCUGAAAUCUGAGUUUAUAAUUUAAUGUUUUAAGUUGAUUUUUAGGUCAUUGGGUAUGGACGGAUCUGUCACAGUUUUAGCAGAGCUAGGGGUUUCUGCCAAAGAGAUUGUUUCUCUGUAUCCUCUGGUUUGUUUCUUUAUCAGAGAAUGAUUUAUAUUCAGCUUAUUAAGUAAUUUAUUAGUUUUAGACUGUGAAAAUUCAAGAUUCUUCCACUCAAACAUUUAUCAUCUUUGUAUUAUUCAAUCCAGACUGCAAACAGAAGUGGUAGGGCUCCCUUUGAUUGUUUUGACUCAAGUCAUUGGCUUCAACGGUAUGUUGAGGCCCAGUGUUGCAUUGCUUCAAAUGACUACAAAGGUGGUCUGGAACUAUUUACAGAUCUUUCACAGUGUUUCCCUAAUAAUAUACACUUAUUACUUGAGAUUGCAAAGGUUGAAGCAAUCAUUGGAAAAAAUGAUGAGGCCAUUAUGAAUUUUGAGAAGGUAAACUUGUUUUUGUUAUGCUGGACUGCUUGUUCAUUCUUCUGUCGCCCUCAUAAAAAAUGAAGACAAAUCCAUCCUUAAUAUAAAAAGAAGAAAUUGGUCCAUGUAGGCUCGAUCAAUUGAUCUGUAUCUGGUGACUUAUAUGGAUGAGUAUGCAAUGCUUCUAAAGAUAAAGUCUGAUUUUUCAAAGCUAAAUAAAUUGGUGCAUGAUUUGUUGGUCACUGAUCCUACAAGGCCAGAAGUUUUUGUAGCUUUAUCUGUUCUGAAGCUUUGAGUUGUAUUUUCCUAUUUUGUUUUUGUCUAAGGUCAUAGACUGGUUUGUCUUAGUUCAUGAUCUUUUUUGUUUAGUAUGUUUUUUAUAUGUUCAUUGAUUUUAUUGUGCGAUAAAAUUUAAUUGUGGUGGCUUUAAGAGUUAGUUUCAAAUUUGUGGCUUUAUGAGUUUUGGAUUGUUGGCUUGGUGGCUUUGAUGUAACUUUUAUGAUUUAUGUUGAUUAAAUCCCUAAUAAUUUGAAGGGUUUAUGAUGAUUGAUUUUUCUGAGGCAAUUUUUUUUAUGUUCUGUUUGAAGUAAUUUUUUAUAAUAUGUAUUGAUCCUUUUUUGUUAUUCUGGUUUGUUGUGUUUAGUUCUUUAGUGUUUCAUAGCACCAUAUUUUUGUAUUCUAAUUUAUUUUUAGGCAAUCUGUUGUGGUAGGUGUCAUUGUUACUUUGAAUUAUUUUAGCCUAUGAUGUUCAAGAAUAAAUAUACGUAUUUUAUGUUGGUGAUUAUGACACUUGAUGUGUUCAUAUUUUAUUUUUAUUUUUAAUAUAUGUUGGUAUCUCAAGUGUCGUAAAUGCCCAUAAUAAUAAGUUAUAUAUUUUCUGAAAUCCUUAUGAUGAUUAAAUUGGG